UGAGCACGAAGAUGCUACGGCAUCGAAGCAGUCUAUGUCAUACUUCCAAGAAAAGCUUGCAAUGUCAUAAACAAAUAAUGCCUGUACCAUAACCGACACAGGUGGGUAGGUAGAGUAUACUAAGGGGCGCGAGAUAACUCUCUCUAAGGAACUCGGCAAAAUGACUCCGUAACUUCGGGAGAAGGAGUGCCUUAUUUUUAUAAGGUUGCAAUAACAAGAUCCAAGCAACUGUUUACCAAAAACACAGGUCUCCGCGAAGUCGUAAGACGAUGUAUGGGGGCUGACGCCUGCCCAGUGCCAGAAGGUUAAAGAAGUUGGUUAGGAUUACCGAAGCUGAUAACUGAAGCCCUGGUGAACGGCGGCCGUAACGAUAACGGUCCUAAGGUAGCGAAAUUCCUUGUCGGGUAAGUUCCGACCCGCACGAAAGGCGUAAUGAUUUGGAUACUGUCUCGGAGAGGGGCUCGGUGAAAUAGACUUGUCUGUGAAGAUGCGGACUACCUGCACCUGGACAGAAAGACCCUAUGAAGCUUUACUGUAACUUGAGAUUGAAAUUGGACUUUAUUUGCGCAGUAUAGGUGGGAGACGUUGAAAAUAUUCUUGCGGGAAUAUUGGAGUCAUCAGUGAGAUACCACUCUUAUAAUGUUAGAUUUCUAACUUUGUAUCAUUAUCUGGUCAAAGAACAGUUUCAGGCGGGCAGUUUGACUGGGGCGGUCGCCUCCCAAAGGGUAACGGAGGCGCACAAAGGUUUCCUCUGAACGUGUAGAAAUCGUAUCUAGAGUGUAAAGGCAUAAGGAAGCUUGACUGUGAGACCUACAAGUCGAGCAGGGACGAAAGUCGGUCUUAGUGAUCUGACGGUGCUGAGUGGAAAGGCCGUCACUCAACGGAUAAAAGUUACUCUAGGAUAACAGGCUGAUCUCCCCCAAGAGUUCACAUCGACGGGGAGGUUUGGCACCUCGAUGUCGGCUCAUCGCAUCCUGGGGCGGUAGUACGUCCCAAGGGUUGGGCUGUUCGCCCAUGAAAGCGGUACGCGAGCUGGGUUCAGAACGUCGUGAGACAGUUCGGUCCAUAUCCGGUGUAGGCGUUAGAAUAUUGAGAGGAGCCUUCUUUAGUACGAGAGGACCGAGAAGGACAUACCUCUGGUGUACCAGUUAUCGUGCCAACGGUAAACGCUGGGUAGCUAUGUAUGGAGAGGGUAACCGCUGAAAGCAUCUAAGUGGGAAGCCCACCUCAAGAUAAGUAUUCCC
rnacentral:rRNA from 1 species